rnacentral:piRNA from 1 species
UGCUAGUUGCGCUUGCAUUGAUUG